UGGGGAAUCUUGCACAAUGGGGGCAACCCUGAUGCAGCGACGCCGCGUGCGCGAUGAAGCCCUUCGGGGUGUAAAGCGCUUUCAGCUGGAACGAUAAUGACGGUACCAGCAGAAGAAGCUGCGGCUAACUACGUGCCAGCAGCCGCGGUAAUACGUAGGCAGCAAGCGUUGUUCGGAGUUACUGGGCGUAAAGAGUAUGUAGGCGGGUUGCUUAAGUUUGGUGUGAAAUCUCCCGGCUCAACUGGGAGGGUGCGCCGAAAACUGAGCGGCUGGAGUGCCGGAGAGGAACGCGGAAUUCCUGGUGUAGCGGUGAAAUGCGUAGAUAUCAGGAGGAACACCGGUGGUGUAGACGGCGUUCUGGACGGUUACUGACGCUGAGAUACGAAAGCGUGGGGAGCAAACAGGAUUAGAUACCCUGGUAGUCCACGCCCUAAACGAUGCACAUUUGGUGUGAGCCAUUCAGUUGGUUCGUGCCGGAGCUAACGCGUUAAAUGUGCCGCCU
rnacentral:rRNA from 1 species